ensembl:lncRNA
AUGCAACUAGAGGCAGUGAAGGAGUUAGAGGAGCGACUGGAAGCUGUUAAAGAGGAGCGGAGCCAGCUGAAGACUGACCUUCAGGACAAUGUAGACAUGGUGAGGAAAUAUUAUGCACUGCGUUAUUCAUAAGAGACGUGAGAUUGAAAUGUGCUUGUUGCACAAAGAUUUUAAUCAGUAAUCUGCUCUUACUCUACUUUUAUGAAAUGUGUGCAUGUAAAUGCAAUUAAUUUUUUAACCAUUGUUUUAGUUGAUUGAGAAUCAAGAGGAACUAAGGGAGGCUCAAGAGAAGAUCAAAUCGCUACAGGGGAAAAUCCAACGACUUCAGACUCAGAAUGCAGAUGUUGAGACAAGAUUGAACAACAUAAAUGUUCCAGAGAAUACGUCCUGUCUAGGAGAGCUGCAAAACCAGGUGAGGUUCUUAGUCAGUUGUCGCCACGAUGUACUACCUAAAUGCAACCAAUGUGUAGGUUGAAUAUAUUUUUUAUCUCCAAAACCAAUCACAAAGAUAAGGCAGCUGAAUGAGGAGCUAAAGUCUGUACGAGCUGAGAGCGAGCGUCUCCUGUCUGAGACGACAGAUGGCUCUCAGAAUCAUGCAGGGGAGUUGGAGAAGCUGCUCUCUACUGUGACCUCACUGACUGAAGAGAGAGACCAGCUCCAGGAGAUACUGGAGGGAAUCCGAGAGGAGAGGAACCAGCUCAAGAGAGACCUGGAGGACAAAGUGGAGAUGAUCAUACAAGUACAUACAGAACCUAAACAUCAGCAACAUCUGUACUCAGAGCAACCGACUGAGAGGGAACAUCAAGAAGCUCAACUUCAGCAGCAACUAGGAGAGGAACUGGAAACCAUGACACAGGAGCGGUGUCAGUUGAAGGGUGACCUGCAGGAACAUCUGGAGAUGGCUGCAGAGACUCAGGGACUUCUCCAUUCCAUCCAAGAGGAGCUCAGACAACAGAGACAAGUGAACUCUGACCUUGAGAGCCAAAGUUUACAGAAGGAGUCUCUUCUAGAACAGCAGGUUAAUAGCCUUUUUCCUUUGUGACAUGUAGCCUCUUCAGAUCACAUGCAUAUUGAUGAAACAUUUCACCUGUUUCCCCCCCUGAUAAAGGCUAAGCAGCUGAAUGAGGAGCUUGAGUCUGUGCGAGCUGAGAGAGAGAGUCUCCUGUCUGAGAAGACAGACAGCUCUCAGAAUCAUGCAGAGGAGUUGGAGAAGCUGCGCUCUACUGUGACCUCACUGACUGGAGAGAGAGACCAGCUCCAGGAGAUACUGGAGGGAAUCCGAGAGGAGAGGAACCAGCUCAAGAGAGACCUGGAGGACAAAGUGAAGAUGGUGAAUGAUGGAUUACACAAUGUUUAGACAAUGCUCACACUAAUUACAAUCAAAGCUUUUUAUAUUACAAGUUUACAUUUUAUAUUUUUUUCAGGUUGAAAACCAGGAGGAACUACGGGAGGCACUUGAAAAUAUGAAACCUAUGGCGACUGCAAAUCUAGAGGAGCUGCAAAGUCAGGUAAAAUGUGGUUUUACUUGCACCACAGAAUUCAUUGUCACAUCAAUUGAAGUGUAGAUUCUAAUAUG